rnacentral:ncRNA from 1 species
AACCAGAUACUGCUAUCAUUAGUAUACUUGUAUAGGUUGCAAUAACAAGGUCCAAGCAACUGUUUACCAAAAACACAGGUCUCCGCUAAGUCGUAAGACGAUGUAUGGGGGCUGACGCCUGCCCAGUGCCAGAAGGUUAAAGGAGUUGGUUAGGUUUCCGAAGCUAAUAACUGAAGCCCUGGUGAACGGCGGCCGUAACUAUAACGACUUAUUCUCUCAAUUAGUCAGUCAGAUCCGGGCCAAGUUCCGACCCGCACGAAAGGCGUAAUGAUUUGGAUACUG